GUCAUUGCUUGUCUCAAAGAUUAAGCCAUGCAUGUCUAAGUAUAAACAACUUUGUACUGUGAAACUGCGAAUGGCUCAUUAAAUCAGUUAUAGUUUAUUUGAUGGUACCUACUACAUGGAUAACUGUGGUAAUUCUAGAGCUAAUACAUGCCUAAAAGCCCCAACUUCGGAAGGGGUGUAUUUAUUAGAUAAAAAACCAAUGGCCCUUGGGUCUCUUUGGUGAAUCAUGAUAACUUCUCGAAUCGCAUGGCCUUGUGCCGGUGAUGCUUCAUUCAAAUAUCUGCCCUAUCAACUUUCGAUGGUAGAGUAGUGGUCUACCAUGGUGAUGACGGGUAACGGGGAAUAAGGGUUCGAUUCCGGAGAGAGGGCCUGAGAAACGGCCCUCAAAUCUAAGGAUUGCAGCAGGCGCGCAAAUUACCCAAUCCCGACACGGGGAGGUAGUGACAAUAAAUAACAAUAUAGGGCUCUUUAGGGUCUUAUAAUUGGAAUGAGUACAAUUUAAAUCCAUUAACGAGUAUCAAUUGGAGGGCAAGUCUGGUGCCAGCAGCCGCGGUAAUUCCAGCUCCAAUAGCGUAUAUUAAAGUUGUUGACGUUAAAAAGCUCGUAGUCGAACUUCGGUCUUUGCUGGCUGGUCCGCCUUUUGGUGUGUACUGGUCUAGCGAAGACUUACCUCUUGGUGAACCGUGAUGCUCUUUACUGGGUGUUACGAGGAACCAAGACUUUUACUUUGAAAAAAUUAGAGUGUUCAAAGCAGGCCUACGCCCGAAUACAUUAGCAUGGAAUAAUAGAAUAGGACGCGCACUCCUAUUUUGUUGGUUUCUAGAACGCCGUAAUGAUAAU
rnacentral:rRNA from 1 species